CAGUGCACAGUCAGAGGAGAGUGGGAAGAUGGCGCCCAGGGGCGGACAGACAGCAAUUGCCUGGAAAAGAAAAGGAAGAAAAAAGGAAGAUGGUGCCCGCCAGCCAGAGCACAAAGACGGCCUCUGCUGACUGGAAGGAAGCAGAAAGUGGGUGUGUAGAUUGUGCCCAGAAGAAAAAAAGAAUAGAAGAUGGUGCCCACGGACACAGGGAGAUAUGAAGAUGGUGGCCACCAGCAGCAGGUUGGCUGUGGACUCCUGGGAGGCCUGAGCCUCUGGCUGGGCUUUAAGAGUGGAUGAGCUUCCUUCACAGCAAGUUUGCCGCCUCUGGAUGUGCAACCUCUUUCUGGGCCCGAAGGCAGUGUUUUCGCACAAGCUGGCUUCUCUGAACAGGCUGUAUGAUCACCAUUUCACGGUUAUUCAGAGCAUCUUUAAGAAUGUCUAUGAGUACUAUGAGGCUUCCCUGGUGGUUCAGAUGGUAAAUAAUCUGCCUAGAAUGCAGGAGACCUGUGUUCCAUCCCUGGGUCAGAAAGAUUCCCUGGAGAAAGGAAUGACUACCCACUUCAGUAUCCUUGCCUGAAAAAUUCCAUGGACAGAAGAGCCUGGCAGACUAGAGUCCUUGGGGUCACAGAAUCAGACUUGACUGGCACUGGCUUGGAAACUGUGAGAUUUGACAUGAAUUCUUUGAUGGAAGAGAUCCAGUUGCAUUGUGAUAGCAACCAGAUCAUUUGGAAUGCCCCAAAAAAAGCUGAACUUGAUGAAAGAAGAAGAGGAAGAGAUGGAGGUAUGUCAGUUGGUUUGGAAGGGUAAGCAGAUGUCACAUCAAAGCAAGAUAGCAUAAGGAUGUUUGCUAAUGGGAUUAUUUACAAAACUGUGGUCAGAGGGUAUGAAAAUAUUAAGGAUAUCUUCAGUAUACAGAUCUUCUUUGACUUACAAUAGGGUCAUGUCCCAAAAGAUUCAAUGUAAGUUAAAAGUAUUAUAAGCUGAAAAUGCAUUUAACACAACUAACCUAAAGAACAUUAGAGCUUAGCCUCACCUACCUUAAAUGUGCACAGUACGCUUACAUUAGUCUACACUUGGGGAAAUCAUCUAACACCAAUGCCUAUAUUAUAAUAAAGUUUUGAGUAUCUCAUGGAAUUUAUUGGAUAAUGUACUGAAAAUGAAGACCAGAAUGGUCAUCUGGAUACCAAACGGUUCUAAGCAUGUUGGAUGUUUACUCUUAUGAUCCCUGGCAGUCUGGGAGCUGUGCUCAUUGUCACCGACCAACAUCAAGAGAAGGUAUGGUACUGUAUAUUCCUAACUUGGGAAAGGGUCAAAAUUCAAAGUAUGGUUUCCGCUGAAGGUGUAAGGCUUUCCUACCAUUGUAAAAUCACAAAUCAUAAGUAGAACCAUUAUGAGUUGGGGAGCAUCUACACUUAGAUCUGAAGGAUUAAAGGGAAGGAGCUGAACUGGAACCUAGAAGGAAAAGGGAGCUAUGUAGAGUGGGUUAGUUACUGAGAACUCUUACCUCCAGGUAAUGCUCACUACAAACCUACCCCACAGGGAGGAAGGGAGCCUAGGGAAUAAAUCCUUUGACCUCAUUUUCCUCUUUCCCUCUGACAUCCAUGGGGCUGCACAUCGUCUGAGCUGAAAGGAAGCCAGAAGAAAAGGAGUCCUUUGUGAUUAUCUGUACAGGACAAGCUGUAAAAGAGUAAGGGAUCUUAAAGAGAAAAUAGAAACUAUCUGGCAAAGAAGCCGUGUUACUUUCAUACAAUAAUCAGUCUUCCAAGAUCUACAGACUGCCUUUAAUUUCCUUCUAUUUGAUGUUAGCCCCUCAUGCAUGCAAGCACUGAACAAAAACAUCUAAAUAUGUGCCUCUAACUUUCGAAUGAGCAUAUAACACUGGGAUAUGAGUAGCCAGUGAUAAUAAAAUUACAAUUCCAUGUCAAAUACAGUUCAUAUUAUCUUUCUCGGUCUUGAACUAAUUUCUUUACACACUUUACACAUAAUAACUGUAAGAAGAAUGGUGUUUAUUCCAUUGAUAACUACAAAUGAAAAUGUUCUACUUCACUGAGUCUCUACAAGGCUACCUUACUAUUCAUCUAUAGACAUACAAGUGUUCUGUCAAUAUCAAUUCUCUGAAUAGUCGUAGUUAAGAACUGUCCCUUCUCUAAAGCUCCAGUUGAGAAACUGCUGGAUCACCAGAAGCAGUCAGUGGCCUGCGCAAAAGACAUAUUGCAAACUGCCAUCAGGGCGGUGAUUAGAAUUUCAAGUUCCUGACUUAAGCAUAGACAGAUUGACUGCACAAGCCUCCAGAGAGAAACUGCAGCUGACUAGCAAAGCUCACUGAAUGCAGCAGAAUCUGGUUUAACUUCAGGUUCCUGAGAGAUUUGCCUGGGGAACCCAGUACUCUCAGGGGAGCAGGUCCCUUUCUGUGCUGACAGCAGUAGGCCUAGUUCAAAG
ensembl:lncRNA